UGCCAGCAGUCGCGGUUACACCAAAAAGUUAAGUCAUAUAAUCACGGUAAAAAGACAGUUAGACAUAAUUAUUUAAGGUUUACUUAGCUUUUAUAGAAAGGUAAAAUUUGUAUAUAAUUGUAUAUUUUAAUCAAAACCAAAAAGUUGAAUCUGUGACAGCCUGGAGGGAAACUGGGAUUAGAUACCCCAUUAUUCCUGGAUAUAAAUUAAAUUUGAAUUUACCAGAGUACUAUGAACAUAUAAAAUUUAAAACUCAAAGGACUUGGCGGUAUUUUAGACCAUUUAGGGGAACCUGUCUCAUAAUCGAUAAUCCACGUUACACCUAACCUUUUUUUGCUUUCAGCUUGUAUAUCGUUGUCGUCAGGUAACUUUUUAGAAAUUAGGAGUUAGCUAAAAAUAGUAAAUUAAAACGUCAAAUCAAGGUGCAGUUAAUAAAAAGGGGAAGAUGGGUUACAAUUAUUUUAGUUAUAAUUACGGAAAACUAUAAGAAUUUUAUAGCUAUGAAGGAGGACUUAAAAGUAAAUUAAAUUAUAUAAAUAAUUUGAAUAAGGCUCUGAAAUGUGCACACAUCGCCCGUCACUCU
rnacentral:rRNA from 1 species